UGACACAAUUUUUUAAUGGAUAAGAUUUUAAUACACAUUUCACAAAGAAAGCUGUAUGAAUGAUCAAUAAGAAUUGUACAUUAAAAAGCAUUCCAUAUCACCAGUUAAAAUUGCAGGGAUAUACUACCAUACAACAAUCAGAAUGGCUAAAAUUUUAGAAACUGAUAAUAACAAAUGUUGGCAAGGAUGUGAAGCACCUAGAACUCAUUGUUGAUAAGCAUGAAAUGGUACAACCACCAUGGAAAAAGAUCUGGCAAGUGUCUUAUAAAACUAAACAUACACCAACAUAUAACCUAUAACUCAGCAAUUCCACUCCCAGAUUAUUUACCCAAGAGAAAUGAAAACAUACGUCCGCAAAAAGACUUGUAAAAAUAUUUAUAGCAGCUUUAUUCAUAAUAGCUCCAAACUAGAAAUGGUCCUUGUGUUCCGUCAAUGGAAGAAUAAACAAACUGUUGUGUAUCUAUGCAUUGGAAUUCAAUGCAGUAAUUUUUUUAAAGGCACUAUUAGCAAUGAGCACCCUGGCACCGAGAUCUUGGUUUCUAAAUACCAUGCACACCAGGCGUCUUUCAUUUCAUUUCCAAAGAACCAGGGCUCUUUAGAGAAAAAGCUGAUUCUGGGGCUGGGGCUCGGGAAGAAUGAGUCUGGAGCAUAUUGUUAAUACCAGAAAGAAAGUACUUAAAGAAGGAUGAGAUUAUGUCACCAGAACAUAAGAGCCAGCCUGAAAGGGUUCCCACAGGACAAAGUUGGGACUGUGUAACCAUAAAAUAAUAAGAGUACUGUAUUAUAAGCCCCUGAAUAAGAACUUCUGAGCUCAUACUGACAUAAAUAAGUAGGCAAGAAGGGUAAAGCUGUCUUAGUACAGAAUGCCAACUAAUAAACAUAGAAGCAAAAGUAGAGUCAUGGCGUGAGUUGGCUAAAGAAAAAAAAAACAGAGUCAGAAAAUAAACAAUAAAGGCUAAAAGAGUAGUUGCAAAUUUAAUGAGGAACCAGACAUAUUGAUACAACGUCCUGUCCCUCCUGACAUGACCAAGGACACAUCCUUUCUGGGCUGCUUCUGACAAAAGUAUACAAUCCAAAUCUAAUAAUGAGGAUAUGUCAGGAAAAAAAACCACAAGAACUCACCUAUUUUUUAAAAAGUAACAAGAUCAAGAAAGACAAAGUUCAUCUGGUUAGAUAGAUGGUGGGAGAAAAAAAGAAGGGCAAAGGAAGGCAAAGGAGUAGACGGAAGGACAUGAAGAAACAUGACAACUAAAUGCAACACAACACACAGUCCUGGAUUGAUUGGAUUCUUGAUUCAGAAAAAAAAAAAAAGCCACAGGUACAUCAACAAAAUAAUUGACAGAAUUUAAAUUUGGUCUAAGGAUUAGCUAAUAGGCAAUAUCAAUGUCAAAUUUCCUGACUCAGAUAUUUAUUCUGGGUUAUAUAUAAGAACAUUGUUGAUCUCAGGAAACACACAUUGAAAUUUUAUAGGGGAAGAGUAUGAGGACUCAAAGUUACUCUCCAAUGUUUCAGGGGAAAACAGAGGGAGAGAGAAAAAAUGGCAAAGCAAGUGGGACAACAGGUAAGCAAGUGGUGAAUAAGUGUGAAGAGUAUACAGCCAUUCCUUCUACUGUUCUUGCAACUUUUCUGUAGGUUUGAUAAAUCCAAGAUAAAAGAUUACCAAAACACACGCACAUACACAUUACUGUAAUUAUUCUCUAUGAGGAUACAGUAGCUCAGUGAUUUUUCUUUUUCUUUUUUUUUUUUUUUGGAGACGCCCAGCUAAUUUUUGUAUUUUUAGUAAAGACAGGGUUUCACCAUGUUGGCCAGGCUGGUCUUGAACUCCUGACCUCAGGUAAUCCACCCACCUUGGCCUCCCAAAGUGCUGGGAUUACAGGCCUGAGUCACCAUGCACAGCCCAUUAUUUAUCAAAUGAUUUUUUUUUUUUUUUUUUGAGACCCAGUCUUGCUCUGUCACCCAGGCUGCAGUGCAGUGGCGCGACCUUGGCUCACUGCAAGCUCCACCUCCCGGGUUCACGCCAUUCUACUGCCUCAGCCUCCCAAGUAGCUGGGACUACAGGCGCCGGCCACCAGGCCUGGCUAAUUUUUUCUAUUUUUCAGUGGAGACGAGGUUUCACUGUGUUAGCCAGGAUGGUCUCUAUCUCCUGACCUCGUGAUCUGCCCGCCUUGGCCUCCCAAAGUGCUGGGAUUACAGGUGCGAGCCACCACGCCCAGCCACCUCAGCGAUUGCUUGGUCACAAAAUUACUAAGAACCAGGCCUUGAACCUGAAUCCAGGCCUUCUGACAAUAGAUCUUUCCAGUGUCCCUGCCCUGUCACUUAUCAAUGAAGAAAUCACCCCCUUAGGCCAUAUUGCUGAACAAUGAACCAAGUGAUUGAGAACUGUGGGGGGAAAUCCUAAAGUUUUUAAAGCACUGGUAGUUACCUGUCAUGACGACCUACUUAGCCAUCUUGUUUGGACACAAAGGAACUGACACAUACUUCAAUCUGAAAGCUGUACUUCCAAAUUGAUGGGGCCCAAAGAAAGAGGGGUAAAAAGCAACAUUUACAUGAAACAAGGAUGUUUUCUAGGAGCCCCAUUCAAUUUCCAAACUGGUAAGUGCUGCGUCUGAUAGCAGGUACUCAGCCCAGCACCACCGCUCUACUGAAUACUUCUUUCCUUUGCAUCUCCUGUGUCUGUGCUUAACAGGGCUGAUAAUUAUGCCAGGUGGAUUCACCUAGGAUGAUCUAUUUCAAUUAAAUUGUGACUGACCUUAAUAUAGUGAAGACAUAUAAUAGAACCAUUUAACUUACACGAAUUCAUCUACUUGUAAAUGUAAUAUGCAUGCAAGUAUACAUAAUAUAAGCAUAUGUACUUAAGUGAUAUGGCCAAAUAUUGCACUUCCUGCAUAAGCCUAAGCCAUGGAAUGGGUGUGAGAUGCACUGUUCUCUCAGGGAUAUCUUACUUUAUGUGCUUCCCCUAAUAUGAGCAUGUCCUUGCUGAGUAUGACAUAGCAUUUAAAGAAAUUAGAAUAAAGAUGCUAACUAAAACAGGUUUUUAGUUAAAAAGCAAUAAAGGAGAAUCCUCAUCCAAAAAUGGAAAUGAAUAGUAGGUGAGUGAGGAGUGGGAAGGACAGGAAAAUAAGAGACAGGUGAAUGGGAGCCAUGGUUUCGACUCCAGGUGCAAGGGAGCCUAAGCGACAGGCUCUGCUUGAAGCUGCGAGCCUGGGGUGAAGCCUGGAACUGGAAACUUCUGCCCAUUCCCUCUGCUAGGCCUCGGACUAAACCUAACAGAAACAGGCAAGACAAGGUGGGAAAGAUGAGUACAGGGAACACAGAGGACUUUUAGGGCAGUGAAAAUACUCUGCAUGAUACUAUAAUGGUGGAAUACAUGUCUUCAUACGUUUGUCCAAACCCACAGAUCAUGCAACACCAAGAAUGAACCCUAAUGUAAACUAUGGGUUUCAGGUGAUGUGGAUAUGUCAGUGUAAUGUGGGCUCACCGAUGGUAACAGAUGCACUGGUCUGGUGGGGGAUGUUGAUAGUAGGAGAAGCAAUGCGUGUGUAGGGGCAGGGGAUAGAUGGGAAAUCUCUCUACCUUCCUCUCACUUUUGCUGGGAAAUUAAAGUUUCUCUUAAAAAAUUAAGUCUCUUAAAAAAUUCAUUUGUUAAAAAACAAUCAAAAACCGGGAAAAUAUUACAAAUAAAAUAUCAUUGCAUAAAAGACUCAGGCAAAAUGAGAGAUCUAUGACAUUCACAGAUGGGAGGAUGAGAAAUCCUAAGCUAACCUAGAAAUUCAAUGUCCAGGCUCCUUAGUUAGCCAUUGGAGGCACUCUGGCCUGGUCCCUGCCAACAUCCCUGGCCUUGCUUCUUCAAAUGGCCCAACAGCCAGUGCUGCCACCAUCGAGUCCUCCCUGCCCAUCCUGGAUAAAGCAGCAUUCCUCCCACCAGUCUCCAUCCCCCUUACUCUGACCUAUUUUGCUCAACAGCACUGACCACAAUGUGAGCCAACACACUGUCUUCUCUGACAGAACAAAUGUUCCACAAGGACAGAGACUUUGUUUUGGUUCAUGGCUACAUAUUCACAGCUUUAUCAUAGUUGUAGUAGUUCUUAAAAUAGCCUGGCAUGUGUGUGCCAUGCUCAAAAAAUACGUAUUGAAUAGAUGAAGAGAUGCAUGUGACUCCAAUAAAAUUUGUAACAGAAUUUUUCUGGAAAUUGACCAAUUGAUUCCAAAAUUUAUAUGGAAGAAUAAAAGUGCAUAAAUAGUUAAGACAACUUUAAAAAUGAACAAGAGGAGGUAUCCACCCUUUAAGACAGUCAGCUGCAAAGCCACAGUAACUAAGUAUGACACUGAUAAGGAAAUACACAGAUAACUAAAAGAGUCCACAGACUCUAGCAAAUGAGGGGGUGUGAGGCCUGAGAGCACACACCACAAACCAAUUGGGAAAGAACAGCCUUUACAAUGGUGUUGGGAUAACUGUUUCAACCACAUGAAAAAAAAAAUUAAAUUCUUACCUUAUACUAUAAAAAGCAAAUUUCAAUUUCAAGAUUUGACAUUCAGAAGUUCUCAAAAACUGUAAGAAGACAUUACUGUAUGACCUCAUGGUAGAGAAGUCUUCUUAAAGAUACACACCAAAAAAACCCCAUAAAGGAUAAGGUAUAUUGGUUUGUCUUAAAAAUUAAGAACACAUAUUAAAAAAAUGCAUCAUAGGCCAGGCACGGUGGCUUAUGCCUGCAAUCCCAGCACUUUGGAAGG
rnacentral:lncRNA from 1 species